AGACCGAUAGCGAACAAGUAGAGUGAUCGAAAGAUGAAAAGCACUUUGGAAAGAGAGUCAAACAGCACGUGAAAUUGUUGAAAGGGAAGCGCUUGCAGCCAGACUUGCCCGCGGUCGUUCUUCUUCCGCGGGCAGGCCAGCAUCAGUCUGGGCGGUCGGAUAAAGGCCUCGGGAAUGUAGCUCUCUUCGGGGAGUGUUAUAGCCCGGGGCGCCAUGCGGCCAGCUCGGACUGAGGUCCGCGCAUCUGCUAGGAUGCUGGCGUAAUGGCUGUAAGCGGCCCGUCNUGAAACACGGACCAAG
rnacentral:rRNA from 1 species